CCUACGGGUGGCAGCAGUGGGGAAUAUUGCACAAUGGGGGAAACCCUGAUGCAGCGACGCCGCGUGAGUGAAGAAGUAAUUCGGUAUGUAAAGCUCUAUCAGCAGGGAAGAAAAUGACGGUACCUGAGUAAGAAGCCCCGGCUAACUACGUGCCAGCAGCCGCGGUAAUACGGAGGGGGCAAGCGUUAUCCGGAUUUACUGGGUGUAAAGGGAGCGUAGACGGCAGGGCAAGUCUGGAGUGAAAGGCGGGGGCUCAACCCCCGGACUGCUCUGGAAACUGUACGGCUGGAGUGCAGGAGAGGUAAGUGGAAUUCCUAGUGUAGCGGUGAAAUGCGUAGAUAUUAGGAGGCACACCAGUGGCGAAGGCGGCUUACUGGACUGUAACUGACGUUGAGGCUCGAAAGCGUGGGGAGCAAACAGGAUUAGAUACCCGAGUAGUC
rnacentral:rRNA from 1 species